rnacentral:rRNA from 1 species
AGUGAACGCUGGCGGUAGGCCUAACACAUGCAAGUCGAACGGCAGCACAGUAAGAGCUUGCUCUUACGGGUGGCGAGUGGCGGACGGGUGAGGAAUACAUCGGAAUCUACUUUUUCGUGGGGGAUAACGUAGGGAAACUUACGCUAAUACCGCAUACGACCUACGGGUGAAAGCAGGGGAUCUUCGGACCUUGCGCGAUUGAAUGAGCCGAUGUCGGAUUAGCUAGUUGGCGGGGUAAAGGCCCACCAAGACGACGAUCCGUAGCUGGUCUGAGAGGAUGAUCAGCCACACUGGAACUGAGACACGGUCCAGACUCCUACGGGAGGCAGCAGUGGGGAAUAUUGGACAAUGGGCGCAAGCCUGAUCCAGCCAUACCGCGUGGAUGAAGAAGGCCUUCGGGUUGUAAAGCCCUUUUGUUGGGAAAGAAAAGCAGCAGGUUAAUACCCCGCUGUUCUGACGGUACCCAAAGAAUAAGCACCGGCUAACUUCGUG